AAGCAAGAAACUAACAGUAUUAUGGUUUCGACCCAUAACUAGAUAUAUAACUAUAUCCUUGCUUUC
rnacentral:tRNA from 1 species